UUAUUUGGUAUAUAUAAUAUAUAUAUCAGAUAAUGUAAAUGUCUGGUUAGAUGUAAUAUGAUAGUGUGACACUAAAAUGGCUUGAACUUUGAAGUAUUAAAAAUUAAGAUUAUUAUAUUUUCAAUAAAAAUAUAAUAUUUAUUUUUAUAUAUACUUAUUAUAUAAUUAUUAUAAAUUUAUGAAUUAAAUGAAACUAUAUAUUUUAAAAAAUAUAUUAUCUUAUUAUUUUAUUAAAUUAUAUAAUAGAACUAAUCUAACUUAUCAUUAAUGAAAUUUAUUAUUAUUAUUAUUAAGUAAUAAUCUAACUCUAUUAAAAGUAGAAUAACAAGCCUUCUUAGCUAUGCCAGGUGGGAUCAGAAAAUCAGCCACUCGUGUUGCAGCAAUUAUCCAUGUCAUUUUGAUUAAUCUUGGACACGGGUUCUCUUCUUUCUUCUAUAUUGCUGGCGACGUAUCACUUCCUCUUCUUCCACCACGUAUUUGCAACCGUCGAAAUAACUCCAGCUCUUCACUCCUCUGCAAUUAAAUAUCGAAUACUUCCUCAUCCUUCCAGCUUCUAUAUUUAGGAACACGUUGGCAAGUCUCUGCUCAUCUUUUCGUCUCGCUAUCUUCUUCUAUUAUUGCAGUCUUCUAUUACAUCUGGAGAGGGCAAUGGAGAGACGGAGAAGCUUGAUUGGGUUCGUUGAGAAGCAAAAAAUCUUCCCGGGUAGUAAUAGAGAGAGCACCAGUUGUGGAUCCAGUUCGAUGGUACUCGGAGAAAUUCGUGAAAGGACAAUGAGAUAAAGAAGACUGUGUUCCUGAGUGAAAAACGUAAAUAGAAUGUCUCUCGGAGAGUUUAGAUCGAAAACUUCUUACGUCCAUUUUGGAGUUUUCUGACAUGAUGGUUGCCCUUCUGUUGUAAGCCACUUUGGGAUUUCUGCGUUUGCAAUCUGGUGAGUCAACAUCUGAUCUUAUCGUGUUAUUUCAAACAUGGAAGCGGGUAGAUUGGGCUCCAACCAUCGGUUAGAAGGUUUUUUCCCGGAUUACUCCAGCAGUUCAAUAAUAGCUGAUGUUAUUAUAUGCGAAAAUAUGUUUCGGGUGCUGACUUCUUCUUCUUCAUCAGCUGGUGCUCCCCUUCGUUUCUUUGUUUAUGACAAGUAUUUAAAAGGACUAAAAAGGAACUCUAGAGUGGUGACAACAUUACAAAAAUACUUUCAAAGUAUUUGGACCAUUGGGAUCAUCACACUUCACAGCAGAGUUCGUACACUCUUACAAACAAUGAUGUUAGGCCUGUUCGUUUCUCUGACGCAGCGUCAGCGGCGGCAACCAAUAAGCGGCAACCAAUAAUUAACAAACAGAUGAGAGAAAUUUUAACUGUGUGUUGUUGUAUAGUUGCCGCCGGCGACUUCCAUUGCUCCUCUUUUCUGUAAUUUUAUUGCCGCUGCAAAUAACAGCGUCUCCCACCUCAUACGAAACGUGACGCAGCGUCCAAUGAUUGUCUUUUCUAACUCUCUAAUUUUAAUUGGUUGCUGAGCUGUCAUUAAAAUUUCUUUACAUUUUUUAUCGUUUGUCGUUGACGCAGCACGUUCUGGAAACGAACAGCACUGUUAACGUAGGAUUAUUUUGACCGGGAGGUGGUGAGAGAUUUCUCUUUGGUGUGGCCUUUCAAGAAAUCUGUAUUUCUUUUUUUAUUGAUAUCCAUUUUAAUGCAAAGCCUUCAACAUA